AGAGCGAACGCUGGCGGCAGGCUUAACACAUGCAAGUCGAACGCUCGUAGCAAUACGGGAGUGGCAGACGGGUGAGUAACGCGUGGGAACAUACCCUCCGGUUCGGAAUAGCUCAGGGAAACUUGGAUUAAUACCGGAUACGGCCGAGAGGCGAAAGAUUUAUCGCCGGAGGAUUGGCCCGCGUUCGAUUAGCUAGUUGGUGAGGUAACGGCUCACCAAGGCGAUGAUCGAUAGCUGGUCUGAGAGGAUGAUCAGCCACAUUGGGACUGAGACACGGCCCAAACUCCUACGGGAGGCAGCAGUGGGGAAUAUUGGACAAUGGGCGCAAGCCUGAUCCAGCCAUGCCGCGUGAGUGAUGACGGCCUUAGGGUUGUAAAGCUCUUUCGCUCGGGACGAUAAUGACGGUACCGAGAUAAGAAGCCCCGGACUAACUUCGUGCCAGCAGCCGC
rnacentral:rRNA from 1 species